rnacentral:rRNA from 1 species
UCCGGUUGAUCCCGCCGGACCUGACUGCUAUCGGAUUGAUACUAAGCCAUGCGAGUCAUUGUAGUAAUACAAGGCAGACGGCUCAGUAACGCGUAGUCAACCUACCCUAUGGACGGGGAUAACCUCGGGAAACUGAGAAUAAUACCCGAUAGAACAUUAUACCUGGAAUGGUUUAUGUUUCAAAUAAUUUAUUGCCGUAGGAUGGGACUGCGGCCUAUCAGUUUGUUGGUGAGGUAAUGGCCCACCAAGACUAUUACAGGUACGGGCUCUGAGAGGAGUAGCCCGGAGAUGGGUACUGAGACACGGACCCAGGCCCUAUGGGGCGCAGCAGGCGAGAAAACUUUGCAAUGUGCGAAAGCACGACAAGGUUAAUCCGAGUGGUUUCUGCUAAAGGAACCUUUUGUCAGUCCUAGAAACACUGGUGAAUAAGGGGUGGGCAAGUUCUGGUGUCAGCCGCCGCGGUAAAACCAGCACCUCAAGUGGUCAGGAUGAUUAUUGGGCCUAAAGCAUCCGUAGCCUGCUUUGUUAGUUUUCGGUUAAAUCCAUAUGCUCAACAUAUGGGCUGCCGGGAAUACUGCAAAGCUAGGGAGUGGGAGAGGUAGACGGUACUCUGUAGGAAGGGGUAAAAUCCUUUGAUCUAUUGAUGACCACCUGUGGCGAAGGCGGUCUACCACAACACGUCAGACGGUGAGGGAUGAAAGCUGGGGGAGCAACCGGAUUAGAUACCCGGGUAGUCCCAUCUGUAAACUAUGCAAACUCAGUGAUGCAUUGGCUUGUGUCCACGCAGUGCUGCACGUAAGCCGUUAAGUUUGCCGCCUGGGAAGUACGUACGCAAGUAUGAAACUUAACGAAUUGGCGGGGGGAGUACUACAAGGGGUGAAGCCUGCGGUUCCAGUGGGAUACCACCGCCGAGA